GUUACUGCAUUAUUUUUGCCUGAUAAGAAGUAUCUUUAAAACAAAAUAAAGACUUUCUUAUUUCCUCAUCUAACUCUUUAAAAGAAAGGAGAGAAACUAAAAAGUAUUCAUACAUAUGCAAAGUAGGAGAUAUGGUAAAAUAAAAAUUAGAUUGGUAUGAAUAGGAAUUAUGUUUCUUUUUUCAAUGCAGUAAAAGUUGGGAGAAAAUAUAAAAGAAAAUUAAGGGGAAAAUGUUGCUAUGUAUUCAUUUAAUAAUAGAGCUACUGAUUUGCAGUGUUAUAACAAGAACAGAAAAUUUUUGAAAAUUAAUCUACAUGUUUGUAAAUUUUAUAAUGGAUCUUCCUGUUUACCUCCAACAAUGAACAUUUUACUUGAUUUCUCUAUCCUCUUUUUUUUUUUCCUAUGUGACUAUCUCUGUGUAACCUGUGGGUUUACAAACAUUUUCCUUGGUAUUGUAAAGACAAGAGAUAGCAUUGAAAAGAGAAAGCCAGGAAAACAACCUACAGGGACUGUUGAGCUGCCACAUUCACCCGGAAUGUCUUUAUCAUGUCCUCAAACUCAGCUCCCUGUGGACCAAUACAUCAGCCCAGACUUUAAUUUGGUUCGAGUAAUGGUUUCAUCAAUAGCACAUUAAAUCUGUGUUUGAGAAGAUAUACAGGUGAACCUGGCCCACACAGUAGAUACCACUGUCAUAAAAUGGCCACAGGCCGACAACAGCUGGGUAAUUACAAAUAAUUAAAUCCACCAAGCUCCAGACAAUCCUAAUUUUAAAUAAAACAUAUUUUAUAUCAAUCGACAGCAAAUGUAUCUGGAAAGAUUUAUCAACAUGUAAUUUUUCCAAAGCAAAUUUACUGGCUUACAUAUUAGAGAAGUUGCUGAUCUGGGAAGCAUCUUCAUAAAAUUCUCUUUAAUCUUUCAAAUACCCCUAAAUAUUUUUGAAUUUUUUAAAAUAUUAUUUAAAUAUUAUUAUAAUUUUUGAAAGACUGGAGUAACUUUACUGCAAUAUGUAUUUCCGGUUGUUUUGGAGUAUAUACAUAUAUUAUUAAAAGAUAUUUUAUACUUCA